UUGCAUACGGAGGCACCACCUCCGAGCUGAAGUAUAUUUACUUGGGGUAAGGCGAGAUUUGCUAUAAUUUUACCACUGCUCGCAGUGAAGUGUCGGAGUCGCGAACGAGUCGCCAUAUCUUUGUGUUUGUACCAGGGACUGUAGCCGUCACUGUCAUCGAGUGCGGUCGUUUGUUGUUGUUAUUAAUCCAUUUUUUUUCUUCUUCUUCUGGUUUUGUCGACCAUCACCAAUCACCAUCAUAUCUCAGUCACGCUGGAUAGCUACGAAACGAAGCUGGAGUCGCCGUACCCCACCAGCAUGCUGGCGGGUAAGUCGCCCUACGACACCGCCAGCACCGGCAACUACAGCCACAUGACGACGAUGCCGAGUAUCAGCAGCAUGGGAUCCAUGCCCAUGGCCAACUACUCCCCCCAGGGGAUGGCGGGCAUGACGGGGAUGGGGUCCCUGCCGCCCAGCAUGAGCUCCAUGGGGAUGACGGCCAUGGGGAUGCACGGCUCCAUGGGCACGAUGAACAACAUGAACACUCUCAACAGCAUGGGCUCCAUGAGCUCCAUGAACAACAUGGGCAACGUGCCGAUGAACGGGAUGUCCGGUAUGGGUACCAUGUCCCAGAUGAACGGCAUGGCCGGACGGCAGAUGGACCCCAACAUCAUGUCGAUGGACCGCGCCAACGCCCUGAACCGCGCCAGGGACAAGACCUACCGCCGGAGCUACACCCACGCCAAGCCCCCCUACUCGUACAUCUCGCUCAUCACCAUGGCCAUCCAGCAGUCGCCCAGCAAAAUGUGCACCCUCAGUGAAAUAUACCAGUUCAUAAUGGAUUUAUUCCCGUUCUACAGACAGAACCAGCAGCGCUGGCAGAACUCGAUCCGGCACAGCCUCUCCUUCAAUGACUGUUUCGUCAAAGUCCCGCGCACGCCCGACAGGCCGGGCAAAGGGAGUUACUGGACUCUACACCCGGACUCGGGUAACAUGUUCGAAAACGGGUGCUACUUGAGGAGACAGAAACGGUUUAAGUGUCCCAAGAAGGAGUCGAUGCGUGUCGUGGCAAGGUCGUCGUCGGUGCCGCCGAACGGACAGCCGAACGGACAGAACGCGUCCGACUCCACGCCAACGUCCACGGGCGACGGAUCGGGGAUAUCGGCCCCCAACACGCCGCCCCACUCCGUGGAGCCCCCACCUCAGGUGCCAACGAAGACCGAACUCAACCAAACCACACCUCCAGAUCUGAACCAUUCCCAUCAACAACACCAACACAACACGCCAACGCCGCAGCAGCAGCAACAGCAACAGCAUCAGCAACAACAACAACAACAGCAUCAGCAUCAGCAGCAACAACAGCAGCAGGCCCUGACGACGUGCACGGCCGCGGAACUGACAAAUGUUCGACAGCUACAACAACACCCUGGAUUGCAUGAUAUGAACCCACAGGGACUACAUCUCGGGCCAGGUCAGUUGCCCUCUCACCAUUCCUUUAAUCAUCCUUUUUCCAUCAACAACUUAAUGUCGGAGAGCAAACUGGACAUGAAAAUGUACGAAACCAUGCAAAACUACGGAGCUUACGGACAGAUGUCGCCGUUGGCAAUGCCUAAAGAAUCGUCACCGCCGAUGCAGGCGAACGAUGGCAAUUACUACAAAUAUGUGCCACACUCCACGGCAAGUUUGUGAAAACUAUUUUUAUUCUGCAUACGCACAGUUUUAAAAAUUAUAUAUUAUAUAUAAAUAUAUUGUGGAAAAAAAGGUGUGAGAUACGUGUUCCAUUGGCUUUUAAAAAAAUUAAUUUAAAAGACAAAAAACUAAACAAAUAUAUAGCUAAAACCAAAGAUUUUUAUAUCUUCAAGGCCAAAAGCUGUCUCUACCUAAAACAAAUUUUAAUUGUGGUGUGUUACGUGAAAUAUGAAAAAAAAUGUGCGCGUGUUGUGCACGUGAAAAACAAAAAAUAAUAUUGUGUUCAGGAUUGUAGUUGCAUGCAGUCUAGCUUUCUAAGCGCUACGGGUGCUUUGUUUUUAUUACUGAAUACUGGACAUUUUGUUUCGUUUACUCAAAGACGUGAAAAUCUGGACUAAACAGAAUUUCCAUAUAGAUGAACAAUAUUCACGUCGUCGAGACUACCGCCACUUCGCUAGUUUUUGGCAGCCGCCAUCAGCACACUGGCUCUACUCAACCUGAGUCGGCCUGGUUCAGGGUGAGACGACUCUGCAACACUCUACCUGGAGACAAGGGCACUCGUCAUCAAAGGAUGCCCUUUCCUCGCCCCGGAUUCAUCUGCGCACUCUCAAAGGAAGCUCAGCCAAGGUAACGUCUAAACCGCGGACGGAAGCUCUCGACAACGCCCAGUCGCUCAUCUCUUUCGAUUUCUAAUGUACUUUUAACAAUGAUAUUAAAAUUAUAAUUUAAAA